rnacentral:rRNA from 1 species
ACUGCUAUCGGGAUGGGACUAAGACAUGUUAGUCGUGCGCCUCCUAGCCACGAUGGAGGCGCGGCGCACAGCUCAUUAUCACGUGGCUAACCUACCCUCAGGACGGGAGCACCCCCGGGAAACUGGGGCUAAUUUCCGAUAAGUGAAGACUCCUGGAAUGGAUUUUCGCUGAAAAGACACCUGGGUCAUGCUUUAGGUGUUGCCUGAGGAUGGGGCCGCGGCCGAUCAGGUUGUUGGUGAGGUAACGGCUCACCAAGCCUUUUACCGGUGCGGGCCGUGGGAGCGGGAGCCCGGAGAUGGGCACUGAGACAAGGGCCCAGGCCCUACGGGGCGCAGCAGUCGCGAAAAUUUCGCAAUAAGCGAAAGCUUGACGGAGCUAUCCCGAGUGCCAUCCGCUGAGGAUGGCUUUUCUCUAGUGUAGAUAGCUGGGGGAAUAAGGAGAGGGCAAGUCUGGUGUCAGCCGCCGCGGUAAUACCAGCUCUCCGAGUGGUGUGGAUGAUUAUUGGGCCUGAAGCAUCCGUAGCCGGCUGAGCAAGUCCCCUGUUAAACCCAGCGAUUCAAUCGCUGGUCUGCGGGGGAUACUGCUCGGCUAGGGGGCGAGAGAGGCCGUCGGUAUUCCCGGGGUAGGGGUGAAAUCCUAUAAUCCCGGGAGGACCACCAGUGGCGAAGGCUGUCGGCUAGAACGCGCUCGACGGUGAGGGAUGAAAGCUGGGGGAGCGAACCGGAUUAGAUACCCGGGUAGUCCCAGCUGUAAACGAUGCAGCAGGGUUGUUUAAGGGCGGCCACGUGCCGCCCUAGUGCCGCAGGGAAGCUGUUAAGCCUGCCGCCUGGGGAGUACGGCCGCAAGGCUGAAACUUAAAGGAAUUGGCGGGGGAGCACCACAAGGGUGAAGCUUGCGGUUUAAUUGGAUUCAACGCCGGAAU